ensembl:lncRNA
GAUAACACCAUUGGUGGGCCGAGCUGUGAGCAGAAACCAGGCUCUUAUAUUACUGCCGAAUUUUGGGCCCAACCCAUUUUUCUUAGGGUAGGUAUAUGUGUGCUCUGUUUGAUUUAGUCACUCAUUACUGCUGAUCACGCUCUCAGAACCUGGAUUACUGUUCAGAGUUUCAGGACAAACUACUGCCUAAGUGGGCAAAAAAGCCAGACGAACAUUAGAAAGGCGGAGCACGAUGUGAAACAUGUUAAAAAAGACGAAGCAAAUGGGCACGCGAUACCUGGUUUGGAUUUGACUGACGCUGUAACCUGUGUGACAUCAGUGCAGCAGAACAUUGAACCUCCUCCUGUGACUGUCGCAAUUAACGUCAAGCCAACACCAGCAUCAGUAGAAGCUAAUGGCACCAAAGCAAAAGCUCCGACUGUGUCUGUGGAAGCAGCUGGUAACCAGGUCAGUGUUACAGCUGUAUCAGCUGAACAAAAAAUUCCAGCAGAGUCCAGUACGCCAGCCAAAGACACACCGAAAGCUGAGACUCCCAGCAUGUUCAAUAAGAUGUUCAAGAAGAAGACCGGACCUGUUUCUCCUGCAUCUGAGGCUAAUGUGGCAGCCGAAGUAGUGAUCGUCCCUGAAGUACAGACCGACAGCCAGAAGUCUCCAACACCAGCAUCAGUAGAAGCUAAUGGCACCAAAGCAAAAGCUCCGACUGUGU